GACGAACGCUGGCGGCGUGGAUUAGGCAUGCAAGUCGAACGGUAUCAUCCUUUCGGGGGUGAGAGAGUGGCGAACUGGUGAGUAACACGUAGGUUAUCUACCCUCAAGACGGGGACAACCCAGGGAAACUUGGGCUAAUACCGGAUGUGAGCAACUUUUAGUUGUUUGAAAGGUGGCGUAAGCUGUCGCUUGGGGAUGAGCCUGCGUCCUAUUAGUUAGUUGGUGAGGUAACGGCUCACCUAGGCAAUGAUAGGUAGGCGGCCUUAACGGGUGGUCGCCCACACUGGGAUUGAGAUACGGCCCAGACUCCUACGGGAGCAGCAGUCGAGAAUAGUCUACAAUGGUCGGAAGACUGAUAGUGCGACGCCGCGUGAACGAUGAAUCCCUUCGGGUGUAAAGUUCUUUUAUAUGUGAGCAGUGCUUCUUAUAUUAACAGUAUGGGGAGAGAGAUAUUAGCAUAUGAAUAAGCAACGGCUAACUCCGUGCCAGCAGCCGACGGU
rnacentral:rRNA from 1 species